GGACACUUUUUAUACACUUUCUGGGCAACAAUCGAAUCACCCACUGGGGUAGAAACUAGGAUAGGCUCAGGAAUAAUCUCAGGACUCAUUUCAAAAUUCACAGCAAUCAAAGGUGUAACAUAUGAGAAAUUGGAUCCAGGAUCCAACAAAGCAUACACAUCAAACUAAAAUAUACGAAGCAUACCAGUAACAAAAUUGGGAGAGU
rnacentral:lncRNA from 1 species